rnacentral:rRNA from 1 species
AUACGGAGGGGGCUAGCGUUGUUCGGAAUUACUGGGCGUAAAGGGCACGUAGGCGGCUUGGUCAGUCGGAUGUGAAAGCCCCGGGCUUAACCUGGGAAUUGCAUUCGAUACUGCCAGGCUAGAAUGUAGUAGAGGGUAGUGGAAUUCCGGGUGUAGCGGUGAAAUGCGUAGAUAUCCGGAGGAACAUCAGUGGCGAAGGCGACUACCUGGACUAACAUUGACGCUGAGGUGCGAAAGCGUGGGGAGCAAACAGAAUUAGAAACCCCAGUAGUCC